AUGAUGGAUCUGGGAGAGGCCGGGAUGGAUUUUCGCCCCGGAGCCGAAGGGGAUGCGAAAAACUCUCAGGCAAAAGGACCAGAUACCGUAC
rnacentral:ncRNA from 2 species